GAUGAACGCUGGCGGCGUGCCUAAUACAUGCAAGUCGAGCGAACAGACGAGGAGCUUGCUCCUCUGACGUUAGCGGCGGACGGGUGAGUAACACGUGGAUAACCUACCUAUAAGACUGGGAUAACUUCGGGAAACCGGAGCUAAUACCGGAUAAUAUAUUGAACCGCAUGGUUCAAUAGUGAAAGACGGUUUUGCUGUCACUUAUAGAUGGAUCCGCGCCGCAUUAGCUAGUUGGUAAGGUAACGGCUUACCAAGGCAACGAUGCGUAGCCGACCUGAGAGGGUGAUCGGCCACACUGGAACUGAGACACUGUCCAGACUCCUACGGGAGGCAGCAGUAGGGAAUCUUCCGCAAUGGGCGAAAGCCUGACGGAGCAACGCCGCGUGAAUGAUGAAGGUCUUCGGAUCGUAAAACUCUGUUAUUAGGGAAGAACAAAUGUGUAAGUAACUAUGCACGUCUUGACGGUACCUAAUCAGAAAGCCACGGCUAACUACGUG
rnacentral:rRNA from 1 species